rnacentral:tRNA from 2 species
GCCAGCGUAGCUCAGUUGGUAGAGCAGCUGAUUUGUAAUCAGCAGGUCGGGGGUUCGAAUCCCUUCGCUGGCUCCA